UACGGGGGGGGCAAGCGUUGUUCGGAAUUACUGGGCGUAAAGGGCUCGUAGGCGGCCAACUAAGUCAGACAUGAAAUCCCUCGGCUUAACCGGGGAACUGCAUCUGAUACUGGAUGGCUUGAGAUUGGGAGAGGGAUGCGGAAUUCCAGGUGUAGCGGUGAAAUGCGUAGAUAUCUGGAGGAACACCGGUGGCGAAGGCGGCAUCCUGGACCAACACUGACGCUGAGGAGCGAAAGCCAGGGGAGCAAACGGG
rnacentral:rRNA from 1 species